rnacentral:tRNA from 1 species
AGUGAAAUGGCCGAAAUUUAGGUGAUAAAUUGUAAAUUUAUUUAUGAAGGGUUCUUCUUUUACU